UACGUAGGGUGCGAGCGUUAAUCGGAAUUACUGGGCGUAAAGCGUGCGCAGGCGGUUUUGUAAGACAGGCGUGAAAUCCCCGGGCUCAACCUGGGAAUUGCGCUUGUGACUGCAAGGCUGGAGUGCGGCAGAGGGGGAUGGAAUUCCGCGUGUAGCAGUGAAAUGCGUAGAUAUGCGGAGGAACACCGAUGGCGAAGGCAAUCCCCUGGGCCUGCACUGACGCUCAUGCACGAAAGCGUGGGAGCAAACAGG
rnacentral:rRNA from 1 species